AGCUGCCAGGAAACAUUCAGAGGCAUUGCUUUAGAGGAUCUCAACACUUGACAUAGGUGAGUAACAUUACCAUUUUACAUAUGGGUAGAUGGGUAAGUCAUUGACUCUCUAAGGCCACAAAGUGAGUCAGAGCAUGGACCAGAACACAGGAGUCCAGACUCCCAACCCCAUUCUCUAGCCACUAGACCUUGCUACCUAUAAACUGCAGAUUAAGAAUCUAUUUUAACUUUAUUAUAUAACCCACAGCAGGCAAACAUGAGCCCCUCUCCUCCCCCUGAAUAUUUGCUGUUUGGAAAGGGAGGGAAAUAAGGAAUCAGGGCAGGGGACUGGGCAGUUUUCCAGCACAGCUCUGAUACCCCACCCUCCCUAACACAAACAGCAGAAUGAUCAUGUCAGAAGGGAGUUCUAUUGAGCCCACUCAAGGCCGUAUAUGGCACACUAGUAACAAUCCCUCAAGUUAAGAAGCAGUGCCAAAAAAUCCAAGUUAAAAGCAAUAAUGUGAGGUUUACUCCUCCACUCUCCUACAUGCCUGGCGUCGGGGGGAAAAUCACUAAGACUUCAGCUACAAGGGGCAUGUUUACACCAGUCAGAGCACAAGGUCAGUGAUAUGAAACUGCCAAGGAUCUUUACAACCUUGGUUACACUAAUCCUUUCUUCCAGAAGAUUUCACACCACUACAUCUCCACUGGUGGCAGGGCUACUGCAGACGAGACUCCAGGCAGCUGCCUGCAUUUCAACCAUUGUUUCACAAAAAAUAUGGUAGCGCUUAAAAUGCCAACAGCCACCAUGAAGCUCAGUCCACCCUACCACAUUCAGCCACUCCAGAGGUGUUUGCAAUGAUGGAAAUUUUCAGAAAGAAGCUAGCACAGCCAGCCAUUCACCAGGCAGCUCCCAUCACAAUGAGAAGCCUACAAACAGCUACCAGAGUCUUGUUCGCUCUCCAGUUCCUUCGAAGACCCCCUGCAUGCUCACCUGCAAUUCCAGGCCAUGACAAUACCACUGCUGAGACCGUACCAAUAAUGAUUCUUUUGUACAACACCUAGCACAGUGGAGUCCUGACCCAUGACUGGAGCUCCUGGGAGUUACGACAAUACAAAUAAAGGGACAGUCACUAA